rnacentral:rRNA from 1 species
UACGUAGGGGGCAAGCGUUGUCCGGAUUUAUUGGGCGUAAAGCGCUCGCAGGUGGUUCGUUGCGUCGUGCGUGAAAGACCCCGGCUCAACUGGGGGGUGUCGUGCGAUACGGGCGAACUGGAGGCCAGUAGGGGGAUGCGGAAUUCCGGGUGUAGUGGUGGAAUGCGUAGAGAUCCGGAGGAACACCAGCGGCGAAGGCGGCAUCCUGGACUGGUCCUGACACUCAGGAGCGAAAGCGUGGGGAGCGAUCCGG